AGUGAACGCUGGCGGUAGGCCUAACACAUGCAAGUCGAACGGCAGCACAGUAAGAGCUUGCUCUUACGGGUGGCGCGUGGCGGACGGGUGAGGAAUACAUCGGAAUCUACUUUUUCGUGGGGGAUAACGUAGGGAAACUUACGCUAAUACCGCAUACGACCUACGGGUGAAAGCAGGGGAUCUUCGGACCUUGCGCGAUUGAAUGCGCCGAUGUCGGAUUAGCUAGUUGGCGGGGUAAAGGCCCACCAAGGCGACGAUCCGUAGCUGGUCUGAGAGGAUGAUCAGCCACACUGGAACUGAGACACGGUCCAGACUCCUACGGGAGGCAGCAGUGGGGAAUAUUGGACGAUGGGCGCAAGGCUGAUCCAGCGAUACCGCGGGGGUGAAGAAGGCCUUCGGGUUGUAAAGCCCUCUUGUUGGGAAAGAAAAGCAGCAGGUUAAUACCCCGCUGUUCUGACGGUACCCAAAGAAGAAGCACCGGCUAACUUCGUG
rnacentral:rRNA from 1 species